AUGCAUGUACUCUCUCUCUCUAAAAAAAAAAAAAAAAUUAGAAAAUACUACUGAUGGAUUAACUUGAGUUUAUAUUCAGCAAUCCUUUCAUUCACUGCUACUGUGUUGGCAGGUGAAAUGGGCAUGUGAUGCUUGGAGGGAAAGUAGUCAUCUUGAACUGUGACUUGACCGUGGAAUGGAGGCCGUACCUGGAGGCACAACAAAACAGAAGGAGCCUGAGCCCUGGCGCCAUGGAACAUCAUGACACUGCUGGAUGCUUGCCUCUGGACUUCCACGGGAGAGGGAAAUAAACCACCUUGUCUCCUCAGCACUGGAUCUUGUUAUGUCCAUUUAUUGGAUGGGGAAGUGAUGUCAACGGAAGUGAGGAGAGCUAGACAGAUGUGAUGGCUGGAACUUCUGCAGCUGUAUUGGACCAUGAGGUGACCUAGAAAGUGGAAACCAUUCAAGCUCUGGAUGGCCUACCCCCAGACUGGUUUAAGUGGGAGCGGGAAAAAAAUUAAGUUUUAUCUUGUUACAAUUACUUUAGGUUUUUUGUAAUGUGUAUCCAAACUUAAACCUGAUAUGGUUAUGGUUAA